rnacentral:tRNA from 1 species
GUCGGGAUAGUCUAGUGGUUACGACGCUUGCCUCACACGCAGAAGGUCGCGAGUUCAAUCCUCGAUCCUGGUA